CUACGGAGGGUGCAAGCGUUAUUCGGAAUCACUGGGCGUAAAGGCCACGUAGGCGGGAAGCCAAGUCUGAUGUGAAAUCCUACAGCUUAACUGUAGAACUGCAUUGGAAACUGGUUACCUAGAGUAUGGGAGGGGGAGAUGGAAUUAGUGGUGUAGGGGUAAAAUCCGUAGAUAUCACUAGGAAUACCUAAAGCGAAGGCGAUCUCCUGGAACAUUACUGACGCUAAGGUGUGAAAGCGUGGGGAGCAAACGGGAUUAGAUACCCUAGUAGUCC
rnacentral:rRNA from 1 species